rnacentral:rRNA from 1 species
AUACGGAGGGUGCAAGCGUUAAUGGGAAUUACUGGGCGUAAAGGGUUCGUAGGCGGUUAUUUAAGUCAGAUGAGAAAGCCCCGGGCUCAACCUGGGAAUUGCAUCUGAUACUGGGUAACUAGAGUUUAAGAGAGGAGUGUGGAAUUUCCGGUGUAGCGGUUAAAUGCAUAGAGAUCGGAAGGAACAUCAGUGGCGAAGGCGGCACUCUGGCUUAAAACUGACGCUGAGGAACGAAAGCGUGGGUAGCAAACAGGAUUAGAAACCCUAGUAGUCC